CGGUAGCGCAGUAGCAGUGCCCGCCCACUCGCUGUCCAGUACGCGCAACUCCAACGCUUGCCCACGCCAGCCUCCCGCGCACUCUCGUUGCCCGCACGCGAACCCCCCAGCGACCGCCAACCGCCAUCACCUGGCAACCCCCUGUAGGUUUUGCAGACCGAACUAGAUUUGGUGACCUCUCACUCUCCGGAGGCGAAGAAGAAAUUCAAAGUCGGAAUAUUGUAACAGGACGCGCGUCAAAAAUCCCUACGGCCCUCAAUCUAUCUCUCUCUACAACACUCAAAUUUAAAAAGAUCAAUUUGAGAAUCUUCAUGGAGAUUUAUCUUUCUCUUGGUUUUUAGUCUAGAACAACUCAAUGCUCACCUUUAAAUCUCGAGGCAGCUCAGAGUUCCGGAGAACCGCAGGAUGACAGAGUUUCUGACAUAGUCACCGUCGCAUGAUUUAUUAGUAGAGACUCCACCGUAGAUUUAUUUUCACUGUUCAGACAUUAGAGUUGUAUUCCGUUUGUAAAGGCUAGGUGUCUUUGUACGAUUUGCAGUUGACUCAUGUUGAGACAUUUUACUUUAUUUCAGACUCCAGAUGUAUUUCAGUUCAGACAUGAUAUCAUUUAUGAGAUAUAACUUUCUAUAUCA